ensembl:lncRNA
CAAAACCCAAACCAAAACAACUCCCUGACAGGAUUGUCAAAAAAUUAUUAUCCUAAAAAUAAGAUACAGAAAUUAAUUAUAGAAGAAUUAAUAUUAUGACAGUAUUUAGGGUUUCCUGCAUUACUGAUCUUUCUGUCUCAGUUCAGCUGUGCUUCCACUGCGCUUCAGAUACUCCAUUUGGAUUUUCACAGGACAUGAAGUGUGGUACCUUUCAUCUGGAUUACAUGGAAAAUAAAGACAUUGAAGGCAAAGAGCAAGAGACACAGAUGGACACUCACUCCUUUCUGUCUGUCCCCUGGCCUUUGCUGAUGGCUUUAAGAGAAUGUUUAAGAGCCCACUGGGAGCUGUGGUGCUGGGCCAGCAGAGGACAGAUUGCUGGAGCAGUGUCAGAAGGAUCAGAGUUAUAAGGCUGAAGCUUCGCUCACCUAUGGAAAGGGUUAGGACUCCAAAGCUGAAUGCAGAAACACCAAACUAUAAACAAAUUAAGCUUAGAAAGGAAUGGGGAGUAAGACACACAGUGGAAAUUUUAGGACAGACCACAAGCUGGAAGACAUACAAGCAAGGUAAAGCACUUGAAAAGCACAUGAAGAAAGAGGAAAAAAGUACUCCAGCAGAUUAUUUCCAGUCACUGCAGAACUGAAUUAUUUUUGAAGUGGUGAUUGACUGAUGGAAGUCUCUGUACUCUCCUGAGUGAUCCAG